rnacentral:rRNA from 1 species
CCAACAGGGAUUGCCCCAGUAACGGCGAGUGAAGCGGCAACAGCUCAAAUUUGAAAUCUGGCCCCAGGCCCGAGUUGUAAUUUGUAGAGGAUGUUUCUGACGAGGUACCUUCCGAGUUCCCUGGAACGGGACGCCAUAGAGGGUGAGAGCCCCGUACGGUUGGUCGCCAAGUCUCUGUGAAACUCCUUCGACGAGUCGAGUAGUUUGGGAAUGCUGCUCAAAAUGGGAGGUAUACGUCUUCUAAAGCUAAAUAUAGGCCAGAGACCGAUAGCGCACAAGUAGAGUGAUCGAAAGAUGAAAAGCACUUUGAAAAGAGGGUUAAAUAGUACGUGAAAUUGUUGAAAGGGAAGCGCACAUGACCAGACUUGGUCGGGUUGAUCAUCCGUCGUUCUCGGCGGUGCACUCUGCCCGACCAGGCCAGCAUCAGUUCGCUGCGGGGGAUAAAGACGUCGGGAAUGUGGCUCCUCCGGGAGUGUUAUAGCCCUUCGUGUAAUACCCUGCGGUGGACUGAGGUUCGCGCAUCUGCAAGG